UGUAUUAAAUUUUAUAUUUUUGUGGGUUUAUGCAAGCCUUCUUGUUACCUGAAUGUUGUUUAUUCUGCAAUACUUGUCUUACGUACAAUCCAAGCUUCGACUCAAAGUCAGAAGUUGUUGGCUAUGUCAACCCCUCCCCUGUUGUUCAUAUAGUCUUAGAUUUGGAUUUAGAAUCUCUUUUUAUUCUGCAACCAAAGUGUUAGUAAAGUAUACUGAUUAGCACCUACAAUCUUUUGCAGGUUUUCAUUUUAUGUCUGAUUUGUUUUCAUAUUCACUCACUCUCGAAUCAAUGGCAGUUGAUAAUAUUAUAAAAUUAGUAUUUUCCAAUCAAGCAAUUGUAGAAUCCAAAGUUCAAGCUAUCUGUUUUGAACAAUCACACAAUGAUUGUACAAGAAAUUUGGAGAUACAUAUACAAUAGCUAGCUAUUGACAAGCCUGAUUUUAUGUUUUUUCUCGAGGGUCUCAAUAUCAAUCAAAUAUUUUGAUUUUUAGCUGAAUGAUGGAACAAUGGAUAGUGGUGCUUAAUCUCAAACUAGGCCACUGAAAGCUUAUUUACAUAGAUACUUUUAUGUUUCCUUAGAAUUUAGUCCACAUUUAUGACUGACUUUAUGCUGCUAAUUCUGUAACGACAUGUUAGAUUUUUGCUACAUGUGUGAGGUGCUAUGUUUUGUAAUGACAUGUCUUCUAGGCGUCAGGGAACGAUUUGCUGCGACUACAACUAACAUGCAAUAUAUUUGUUUACAGCUCAGCAUUCUUUCUUUUCUGUUGAGUUUUGUUGAUAUAGCAAUUUUUUUUAGAAAAGGUGUUGAUAUAGCAAUUAACAUGCAAUGAUCUAUAUUUAUAUUACUUCCGAAGUUGCAUGUGCACGAUUGCUGAGUUAGACUGUUAGUAUACGGAACUAUUUGUAUAUGAGAAAAGAAAGCAUUGCUUUAAAAAUUAACCUAUGGGUAUGGUUUAUCUUAGUUGUUGGUCUGCCAUUUGAGGGCGUGAGCACGUGAACAUUUUCAAUGUACAUAUGAUUUAUACUUUCUUGAUCAAUAAUAACGGACGUGCCAAUGAAAGUAAGGUCUUUUUACAGUCAAAUGGGAGGUUUGGAGUAUGAUAUUUGGUCUAUUCACAUGGCAUUGGCCCUGCUUGAUCAACACACAAUUCUUGCUAACUUCUUACAUAUCCUGAUGCACCAGCCACAUGCACCUGCACCUGGUCUUGUUUUCAUAUAUGUUACAGGUCAUAAGACAUUCCAUUUUUUAUUUGCCACAUUUCUAUCCAUGUUAAAUUUGUGGUCAUUUCAUUAUUUUUUUUCUUGGUUAUGGAGCAAAUUAUGCUUCCGCUAAAUGCAGUUACAGCAGGUCAAAAAACUAAAUACAGUUACACAGUAAAGUUUGAGGAAGAUGGCUUUCAUGAUCACAUUUAUUUCCUCCUUAUUGUUUUAUACAUUCAGAAGUUAUGCUUGACAAGACAACUUAUUUCUCAGACUAAACCAUAUAUGUUAAUACAUUGAUUUAUGCUACAACAAUGUAAUUUUGGAAUGUAUAGCUCCUAAGUGCCGAAUACAUGAGACUCAAAACAUGAUUUGGUCUUAUUGAUAGCAAUGUGAACCUUUAAAAAAUUGUUUUAAUUCAUUUGUCUUCUCUUAGUGGACCUGGAAUCUUUCUAUGGCCUUUUUCCUAGGGCUGCAUUAUUUGAUUUAAUCCUUUUUUGCCCGAGCCGAAGGAUCUAAUGAGAAACUAUUGGUUCACAAUCAACCCUUGGAAGAGUCAACAUCUAGAUCGACAAAUUUUACAGCAAGGUGACUGGAAUUUUUGCCUGAGAAGUAGGUGAGACGGCAGUAAGGCUCAGAUGGAGGUGACACUGCCUGUCGCGGCAUCUCCAAGAUGGAGAUGGAGCUAGGACCUGGACGUAGGCAGGGACGACGCAACUUGUCGUGGUGUCGGCGGCGGAGGACAUGUAGCGGGUUAUGGGGUUUGGGUAGAGGUGGGUUAGAGGGAUGACGACGGCAGCAGCGGUACCUCGGGCAGACCAGGGCGGCAAGGCUGCAACGUGGACGGUCGUGUGUUUUGGCGUAUGUCUGGAGGAAGAAGGUUACAGGUCCGUUGGAUGCAUAUAUGUGACGGUGGAGGGAAAACUGACCCGACUGAAGAGAAACCUUUUUGAGCCUGAAAUAGUCGCUCUCAAUUGUAACCAUAGCAGCUUGGCACGGUUUUGAAGGAUCAGAGUUGCUUGUGUGUUGUAUGACUGAGUUUUUUCUUGCAAAUUGAAGUCCUUUGUUUGCUCUA